rnacentral:lncRNA from 1 species
AUGUUGGAGGGCCACCUAGAAGAAAUGGCAAAAGGAAAUGUUUGCAGAAGAUAUGCAUGUCCUUAGUGUUGGUGGAUGGAGCGAGCAGGCUCUUCCUGAUCGUGUACCCCUGAAGAACCAGGCCAGCAGCAGUGGAGAGAAGCUGUAACUGGAGUUGAGAUGUAGGGACUCUGCUUAGGAUGUGAAAAGAACAUAGAUAGGGCUAUAGUGUGGUGAGCCGAUAAAGGGAAUCCAGGACCUAGAAUCCUCCCAGAUGUUCACUGCUUCCUGUGCCCUCUUCCUCCAAGACCCAGACCAGCUGAGCUUUCAGCUCCGUAGAAGAACCCAGAGAAAAGAGGUGUACAUUUUGGAACGGGAAAGGAAGACGAACACGGAUGCUGGGUGUCAGGCAGUCCUGGCUGCAUGCUGGGCCGCGCUCUGCUGCUGCUGCCUCCUGGACAGCUUGGACUGAGUAACCAAGACCCAGUUCUCUCACAGCCGCUGCUGUUCCCGCUGCUGGAAUAAACAACUAGUGUUACACAAGU